UACAGAGGGUGCGAGCGUUGUCCGGAAUCACUGGGCGUAAAGGGCGCGUAGGUGGCGCUCCAAGUCCGCGGUGAAAGCUCGAUGCUCAACAUCGAGUCGGCCACGGAGACUGGAGGGCUCGAGCACUGUAGGGGCAGAUGGAAUUCCGGGUGUAGCGGUGGAAUGCGUAGAGAUCCGGAAGAACACCGGUGGCGAAGGCGGUCUGCUGGGCAGUAGCUGACACUGAUGCGCGACAGCGUGGGGAGCAAACAGG
rnacentral:rRNA from 1 species